UCACUGAUGGCCUGAAGAUUAACCCAACCUGAGCAUUUGACUUGGCUGCUGACCUUCAGUAAGUGCUACAUGUUGGGGCGGUUGUACAUG
rnacentral:sRNA from 1 species